UCUUAUCAAAUUCAAGGUUAGUUUGUAGUCUUCAGAUUUUGAAAAUAUUACAUUGUAAUGGCUGGUAAUUUUUUUAUUUAGUAAUUUGUGCAAAUGCAUAGGGAUAUACGGAGCUUUUCCUAAAAUUCUCAGCAAGUCCGUCCAUUUAUUAAGAUUUAGAAAUGAGGCAAGGCUUAUGCUUUAUUAUUACUGCUAUUGGAGGAUUUUUCUUCUUCUUCCAAAUGGCUGGACUGGGGAAGUCUGGAGGGCAAAGUUCAUGGGCUUAAUUGGAAUGAUACAGAACUGCUUUUGUUGCAAGUAC
rnacentral:lncRNA from 1 species